rnacentral:tRNA from 2 species
UCCUCGGUAGCUCAAUUGGCAGAGCGAUCGGCUGUUAACCGAUUGGUUACAGGUUCAAGUCCUGUCCGAGGAGCUA